ACGAACGAAUACACAAUAGGCAAUACAAAAAAAGCAAUAUUGGAAGGUGAUUUCUCCGAUCGAAAUCUCUGGGCUUUCUCUUUGUGAUUAUUUUCUUUUUUUUUUAUUUCGAGAGUAAAUAAAAGAAAAGGGGAACACGAACACAGACGCACACAGAAUAUACACGCACAGAAAUAUAAAAAAAAACAAUUAAGAAUUUGCAAGGGUAAUCUCAAGUUUUCUUUCGUUCUUUCUUUUUUUUUUCUUUUUUGUUUGGUUUAGAUCGUCUUUUAGUAGGUAAAUCGACUCCAAUGAGAUCCCGAAUACUUUAAGAUACAAAAGUAGGGGAGAGGAGUCAAGUGGUGUUGAAUCUCUAUUUUAUGAACUUUCUUCGUUUUUUUUUAAAAUGUAUGAGAUUUGAAGUUUUAUUUUUUCUCAAGUAAAAAAGAAAAUACUUACUAAUUUCCUCAAGGCAUGGUCGAAUACUUACGGCCACAGAACCAGGAAUUGUUUUGCGCGCUGCUGGACACCAAAUCCGAUGGAGAUUCAGCUGCUUGUAAAAGGAACCCUAGCAAAUUUAUUUUCAAGGCUGCUGGUUUUUGUUAAAAUGGAUGGGUAUUUGAAAGGAAAGGAAGGGAAAAAUGGUUUAAAAUGGUCUGAAAUACAAAACAGUGCUGCCCAUGACCAUAAGGGUCCGCGCGUAGGCCCGAAUAGAAAAAUGGAUCUGCGCCAUGUUGUGUGAAUGGGGAAAUUGCGCGCUGAAUCCUUCCCUUGCGCACAACCUUCAAUUUGCGCCCCAAUUUCCCCCCCAACCAAUAAACGACGCCGUUUCAAGGGUGGGUCGGGUCGACCCGACCCGCCCCAGCAAGGAUCCGCGUGUUUUUAAGAGCGGAAGGGCUAUUUGCGCAAUCAGCCCUUCCGCAUUUUUGGUGUUUUAAAUUAGGUUUAUGUUUGUUUCUGAAUUGACCCCAGAAUUUUGCUCAGUUUUUAAUUUAACCCCCGUAUAUGCGCAGCGUUUUGGAAAGUUUGAAAAUUUGCACUUUUAAUACCCCAUGGUUUUACCCGCAUUCAAAUAGGUCCUUUCCCCUUUAAUUUUUUUAAAUUCGCCCCAAAGCUUUGUUUUUAGUUCAUUUUUGGUCCUUUUUGUUUCCUUAUUUAAUAUGAUUAUUGUUAUUUCCAAUAUUAUAGUAUUAUUAUUAUUACUAUAUAUUAGUAUACAUUUUUCUUUUACAUGUGAAUAUUGUAUAUAUUUAUAUAUAAUAUUAUUUUUAAUUAUUGUAUUUUAAUAUUAUUAUUAUAUUAUAUAUACUUCUUCGUAUUUUAUUAUUAUUAUUAGUAUUAUUAUCUUUAUUCAUAUUAGCAGACAUAUGUUAUUAUAUAUAUACACAUUUCAUAUAGUAUUAUCUUUUUUUUACUAUUAUAUUUAUUAUUAUAUUCAUUGUUAAUACAUCUAUUUUUUAUACAUGUAUAUAUACCCUUUUUGUAAUAUUAUUUUUUACACCUAUAUGUAUAUAUUUUAUUUUAUUGUUGCUAGUUAUGUACUUUUUUACUAUCUUAUACGUACUUCAAACACUAUACGUAUAGUAUAUUUCUAACACUACUACUAUUUAUAUAAAUAUUUUACGUAUAUACUCUUAAUUAUCUUCAUAUGUGUAUUCAUUGUAUUCUUAUUACGUUCUCGUAUUCAAUGCUAACAUUGCAUUUGAUCUUGCAUGCACGGUUAUUAUUUUCUAAUAUUAUUGUCACCUCGAUUAUUUGUUUCAACAUAUUCCUAGCUCUUUCAUUUAUUGAUUUUUAUUUCAUAUUAUUUUACUUUGCAUUAUUUCGAAAAUCGUAUUCUUGUUUUGCUAAUUAAUUUCAAUAAUCAAGGCAAUAUAUCGAUUUAACAUUAAGUCAUCAAGUUCAUCACUAUGUUGGGUGAACGUCAAUUGACUCGUGUUAAAGCGAUAUACCCUUCUAAAAGAAAAAACGGAAUAAACUAAGUUUCUUGUUUUUUAAUCAGAUCACGACUAAAUUUUACAUUGAACCGUAUUUUUGAAAAUUAAGACAACAUGUGUUUAUGAGAUACCAAUUUUUGGGCGUCACGAGGGUGCUAAUACCUUCCUUGCGCGUAACCGACUCCCGAACCCUAAUUUUCCUCUGGCUUUUAACGUAGACCUAAAUUCAGCCUUCCUUUUGUUUUUUUUAAAAAAGAAGUCUAACAGGUGUCCGGUCACACCUAAUAAAAAGGAUCGGUGGUGAUUCCCUCUUUAUUUUGAAAUCGAAUUUCAGUUUCCAAACUUUUUCACUAGAUCGCCACAAUUAGCGACCCCGGAACCAAUUUUUAUGUCGCUACAGCUGGCGACUCCACUGGGGACUUUUGAGAGUUGAGUCUGAUGUUAAACGCGUAUUGUCAAAUUUUUAAAAUCCUUUGUUCAAAUUAAUUUUUAAUCGUGAUCCUUGAAUUUUUUUUUUUGAAAAGUCAUGCAUUUGCAUUUGGUUUUUUUUAAUUAAUAGUUUUCUAACUUAUUUUGUCUUUCUGUUUUUUUUAGCUUUAAGUUUUACAUUUUUUUAGUUGUUUUAGUAAAAAUAAAAUUUAAAAAGGUUUGUGAGUUUCUCCCUACACACCGUGCACUUGCAUUCUUGCAUAACAUGAGCUCUCUACCCGGGCUCCAUCCGUUUAAGUGGAAGUAAACGCUACGCCUUCGUGAGUUAACUCGUCCCUCCGCACAGGCUAGUGAAAUACUUUCGGGUUACAUAUGACUUAUGUUUUCGUGAGUUAACUCGUCCCUCCGCAUAGGCAUAAGUAAAUGUAAUCCCUCGAAUUGAUCUCGUAAGCCUAUGAUGGGCCAUGACCGAGGCUCUGUACUAAUCUUGGUAGAUGACAGUGCAGACGAUUCGAGUACCCAUCUAGAACCAAAACCGCAUAUAGUGAACCAUGUGAGCCAUCCAAAUAGAGCCAUGCUGAACCUCUGUCCGCUUAUAGUCAUCAAAAUAAGUACACGGGGAAAAUACCUUUUGCCAUCCAGUUACACUGUUUGUGCAAAAUAAUUGGAUUGGGUAGUUUAAUUUGUUUUUCAAAUUAUAUUUGUUGUGUUUACUAACCAAGUUUGUUUGUUUUCACUUUUAUUUUCAUCAUGCAUCAUAGGCAUCAUAUUAAGAAGGUGUUGACUAAAGGUUGGUUGCCAAAAAAUGGGUUUCUGAUGGAGGAGUCAAUUACACAAAUAACCGAGAAGAGUGCCGUGGUUCGGGACUGGUCUCUAAAAAUUCAGAAAGAAAAGGGGGAUAGUCUAGUGGAAGGGUGUGUCGCCAAUUUGCCCGAACAUAUAACUGUAAAUGUUCGCCAAAAUAACCUUGAGGAUUUGGUUCGAAUUUGGAAUCAGUACACUAGAGACAUUUUCACUGAGAGGUAUGGAGAUAUAGCUCACCUGAUCACCAUCCGUGUAGACGAACAGUUGAUUCAAGCCAUGGUUCGGUUCUGGGACCCAGCUUAUCAGUGUUUCACCUUCAAUCAAGAAGACAUGACUCCAACCAUAGAAGAGUAUGCUGCUUUACUCCGCAUCGACAAUGUACAAUUCGGCAAAAUAUAUGUGAAGGAGCCUAAGCCGAUGACCUUCAAGAAAAAGUUAGUGAGACUAACAGACAUGACUGAUGCAUGGGCCGAAAAACAGAUAAAGAAGAAGAAUGAAACCAUUUGCAUUCCAUGGUCCUCCCUACGAGAUUUGGCUCUAAACUAUCCCAACAUGCUGAAAAGGGUAAAUCUAUUCGCUUUGGCCUUUUACGGUUUGGUCAUUUUCCCAAAAGUUCUCAGACAUCUCGAAGUUGCAGUAGUUGAUUUCUUCGAAAGGUUAAAACAAGGAAUCAACCCUGUUCCGACCAUCCUAGCCGAGAUCUUCAGGUCCCUGAGUAGUUGUCGAAGAAAAGGGGAGGGACGAUUUAUCGGAUGCGCGCAGUUGCUCAAUGUUUGGAUUUUGAGUCACUUCUGGAAGGUAGAGCGCACUCCGUUCCAUAUGUUUUCUAAAACAUUGUCCCCUCUAGAAGCUUACCUCAAGAAAGAAUGGCCGAAGGAAGUCACCAAGCAACAUUGGGUAUCAGUUUUUCAGAAUCUUCGCGCCGAGAAUAUAACAUAGAGAGCACCCUGGAUCCGUCCUUCAGUUCUGCUAUACAAAUGUGGAAGCCAAGAUUGGGUACCUUUACUCGGGUUAUGGGGAGGAGUUGGAUAUGCCCCGCUAUUAGUCCAAAGGCAGUUUUCUUCGCGACAAUUCCUCCCCGCAACUGGAGGAUUAGCACAGUUCGAGUUCACUUUCGCGGGUGAAGGAUAUAUGAAGAGAGUCCGAGUCACUGCAAAGUAUUGGAAGGAAAUUCAUUUCAUGGAAUUAGCUUUGUAUGCUGAUACCCUUACCCAAGAUUAUGACAUAUGGAGGAAGCAACGGGUAAAUAGUCAGCAAAUCUCAUCAACAAACUACACCAUCCAAAAUCCUUUCUCGGAGGAAACGCCGUCUGAGCUAGAAAUGACAAGACAAGAAUUCGAACGAGAAAAGGCCAAGAUGUCUCGGGACCUUAAUGCCCUUCAAGAAGAAAACUAUCAACUGAAGAUUGAAGUUCAGGUUGAAAGGUCCAGGACUGAAAAAGUACAAAGAGAAGCCGAGAUUGUGAGAAACGACUUAAGGGACCUUCAUUUGGAAAACAAGAAAUUAAGAAACACUAUAAAGAAUAGCGGGUUAGGCAAGUCGAUAGCAGAAUGGAAGGAAGAAAUUAGCAAUAUUAAGGGAGGAAUGGAGUUUUGGAAGGGAAAAGCAAAGAAAGAGGAGGAAAAGGCUGCGCGUGCUAUGAUAGAGUUAAGAAGGAAGAACGCCGAGUAUGAAAUAGUGGCUGCAAAAUUGGCGAAUAGUCAGUCUGAACAUCAAGAAUUAAAAAGGAAAACACGAGAUCUAGAAAAUAUGCUGCAAUCUCGUCAACAACAAUUAGAUAACCUCUUGAAGGCUCUAGAAGAAAAGAGUGAGCAGUACGAUAAGGACAUUCACGCGUAUGAAGGAACCCUCAAAGAAAAAGAAAUGCAACUUGACUUCUUGAUCAAUGAAAUUCGUAAAGCGGCUAUGCAAGUUGUUCAAUUAUCAGAUAAAGCCAAAGUUCUCAGUUGCCAAUUCCCCCCGAGCCAAAGAUCGAGCAUAUCAGAGUUUUUAGAGCAAGUGAAGAAACAAGGCAAUGUGGCUAGGAAAUUUGUGUAACUGUUGGAAAAAUGAGAACUUUGUGUAAUAGACUAUGUUGAUAAAUGAAAUACCUAAAUAUGGGGCUAUCUUGAAAUCAACACCAAUUUCUUGCAUUUCAUUCAUAAUUGACACUCAUUUGACAUUCAUGCAUUCAUUCAUGCAUCAGUUCAUUCAUUGCAUAUCCCAUACUCGUUCGCUGAGGUUAAAACGUACAAUUUGCAGUUGCCAGACUUCAAGACUGGAACCACGUCAUCCGUAUAAAACGCGCCGACAAGCUAGAGUAAUGGAAGCUGAAUUCAAUGAGAGAAUUGAAAGGAUGGAAAAGCUCAAAAGGAAUUACAAGAGCAACUGGCCAAAUCGCAACAAGAGACGAGAGACCUAAUGGUGAUAUCUCGAGAGGAAUCAUUCGAGCAAAGAGAUCAGAUGGCUAAAAUGAUGGAGAUGAUGACAACUUUGGUCAAAGGAAAAUGGCCCAUGCAGAACCCUGAUGUUAUGGAACCUCGGUCAAAAAUUCACCAUGAUCAGGAUCCACUCUAUCCCCCAAGAUUCACUCCACCGCCCGCAUAUACAAUACAAAGAGGGUAUACUCAAGAGGAACCCACUGGCUUGGAGCAUCGACCCAUGCCACCUGCUCCACCCACUAAUUUGGGGCAAGGAAUGUUAGCGUCGAACCCAGGGGCUAGUUUUGCUAAUCCACUAGUUCCAGAUCUAGAUGACCCAGCAGAGGUAGCCAAGUUGAAAUUGGAUAACCAUGACGCAAAAUAUAGGAGUCUAGAGGAAAGACUCAAAGUAAUAGAAGGCACUGAAGUCUUCUCCGCACUAGGUGCCAAGGAACUCAGUUUGGUACCUGAUCUAAUUUUGCCCCCGAAGUUCAAAGUGCCUGAUUUUGAGAAGUAUGAUGGAACAAGGUGCCCAAAAGCACAUCUCAUUAUGUUCUGUCGAAAAAUGACCGGUUAUGUGAAUGAGGAUAAACUACUCAUACAUUGCUUUCAAGAUAGUCUAACAGGGUCAGCUCUUCGGUGGUACAAUAAACUUAGUAGAGAAAAGAUUCGAUCCUGGAAGGACUUGGCGUUAGCAUUUUGCGAACAGUACAAGCAUGUAUCGGAUAUGGUGCCAGACCGUAUGACCUUGCAAAUGAUGGAGAAAAAGCCAUCAGAGACCUUUAGACAGUAUGCGCAGAGAUGGAGAGACGUCUCAGCUCAAGUGGAACCCCCACUAACAAAAACAAAGAUAACCGUUCUUUUUAUCAAUACUUUAAAGGCACCGUUUUAUGACAAACUAGUGGGAAGUGCCACGAAAGAUUUCGCGGAUAUUGUAAUAUCCGGUGAACUCAUAGAGAAUGCCGUCAAGAGCGGUAGAAUGGAAGGAUCAGAAGGCUCAAGAAAAGCAGCACCCUUAAGGAAGAAAGAGCCAGAAGCCCACAUGGUGGGAACUGGGAGUCGUUACAUUCCCAAUUCGUAUCGUAACCAACCCCGACCUCGAAAUUAUCCACCCCCGAAUUCCUAUUAUCCCCUACAAACCCCUUACUACCAAGCACCACAUCCGUCCUGCCCCGUAUACGCCACGAACAACCAAAGACCCGUCACUACUUUCCCACAAAACACGGUACCCGCCCAAAGCCAAUCAAGGCAUAAUCCCGAGAGACCGCAAUUUACCUCCAUCCCUGUGUCGUAUGGGGAAUUGUACCCAAAACUUUUAGAAAAACAGCUAAUUUCUCCCCAUUACAUGGCACCCCUUAAACCUCCAUACCCAAAGUGGUACGAUCCAAACGCUAGUUGUGCAUACCACGCAGGGAAUCAAGGGCACUCUACUGAGAACUGUCUCGCUUUCAAAAGGAGAGUUCAAGGACUCAUUGACGCGGGUAUCCUACGAUUCGAUAGUGCUAGUAACGCCACGGGGAACCUGUUCCCUAACCAUACCAAAAGGAAUGUGAGCACAGUGGGGAAAGAGGAUGAAUGGAAGGUCAGAAGAUGUGUGGCAGAAAUAAGGACGCCUCUGCAGAAAAUCUGGGAGAUAUUGGUUAAGAAAGGAUUGCUCUGUCACUCUGAUAGAGUUUUUGGAGAAGAAGGUCAAAGUUUUUGCAAUUUUCAUGGGAUUGUUGGGCACGACAUUCAGUCAUGCGAGGACUUUAAAAGGUUACUUCAAGACCAGAUGGAUAAUAAGGAGAUCAAGGUCCUUAACAAGAGUCAAGAUGCCAACGAAAGAGAAGUAUGCGUCUCUGAUAGCCAAUCAUCAGGGCCCCCUUAUAGUGCUGAUCGACCGUUGGUAAUUUAUUACGACGCGAUGAGAGAGCCAUUGAAACCACAGAUGGUAAUUGAAGUACCAUCUCCUUUCCCGUAUAAGGACAACAAAAUAGUACCGUGGAAAUAUGAUGUUAAUAUCGUUACACCGGAAGUUGAAAAGUCUAAAGCCAUAACUGAAGAUGUUGGGGAGGUAGGUCAUUUUACUCGAAGUGGACGAUGCUAUUCUAAAGAAGUUGAACCGGUAAAGAAAAGUAGUGACUCGAAGCAAAAAGGGAAAGCAGUGAUGUACGAGGUCGAAGUCGAGCAAGAAAUUCCACUCGUGCAAGAAACUAAAAAGCCUGUGAAUGAGGAAGAAGCUCAAGAAUUCUUGAAAUUUAUUAAGCACAACGAAUAUAGUGUGGUGGAACAAUUGAGCAAGCAGCCAGCACGAAUCUCAGUUCUAUCUCUACUAUUAAAUUCAGAGCCACACCGGAACGCUAUAUUGAAGGUGUUAAAUCAAGCUUAUGUGGCCAACAACACAUCUGUCGAAAAGCUUGAUAGGUGGGUAAACAAUCUGAAUGCGGACAACUUCAUCUCUUUUAGUGAUGAUGAGAUACCGCCAAAUGGUAGAGGCUCGGUGAAAGUGCUGCAUAUCACAACCCGCUGCAAGGGCUACAUAAUACCGAACGUACUCAUCGAUAAUGGGUCAGCGAUAAAUGUUAUGCCAUUGGCUACACUUCCAGAAUACCGAUGGAUUUGUCCUACUUAAAGCCCUGUCAUUCCAUGGUAAGAGCAUUCGACGGGACGAAGCGCGAAGUCAUGGGAAAGAUCGAAAUCCCUUUGGAAGUUGGCCCCUACAUCUAUGCGGUCGAAUUCCAAGUCAUGGACAUUACACCCUCUUAUAACUGUCUUUUGGGAAGACCUUGGAUUCAUUCUGCUGGAGCAGUCCCAUCAUCCCUCCAUCAAAAGGUGAAAUUCAUCAUGGAUGGCUGUUUGGUCACAGUCGAGGGCGAAGAAGACAUCGUCGCAUCUAUCUCUGCUGAUGCGCCAUACCUGGAAGUAAGCAAGGACGCAGUGGAAUGUUCCUUUCGAUCCCUUGAAUUCAUCAAUGACACUUUCGUCGCUGAGGGAAAUAGAAUUCCGAUGCCAAAACUGUCGAGAAAUACCAGAAUGGGUGUCAAGUUGACCGUAGGAAGGGGAGCUCGUGCGAGAAGAGGUUUAGGGAGACAUCUGCAAGGAAUAGUGAGGGCUUUAAAGCUAGUGCACCACAAGGCUCGAUACGGUUUGGGGUUCCAGCCUGACAUGCACCAAAGAAGAAGACAGUGGAAGAAGGAUCAAGAGAGAAGAAUUACAAGAACUUUAGGCCGAGAACCAGAAUGGGAACCAAUAGAGUACCCUCCUUUGUCAAAAACAUUUAUAUCUGCGGGAAUGAUGUACCCUAGACAAGAUGAUCCACGAAACAUGCUGGGAUUAAUUGAAAGGGAUUUUCAGAAUGUCAGUAUAAAUGUCAUUGACAAAGAAGCUAGUGCAAGUAAAGAUGUAUCGAGGAUACGCCUUUGCCCUCCUGGUUUCAUGUUGAACAAUUGGAUUGCUGAGGAGCUUCUUGUAGUUUAUAAGCCUUCAGAGUAAUGCUAAACAUCAACCUUCUAUUGUGUCCUUAGAUAUAAUAGAAUUCUUUUGUAAGAGUUUGCAUUCACUCUUUAUCAUUUAAAUGAAUAUCAAUGAAGAUGCAUUUUGUCACGAUUUUUCGUAUUAUCACUAAUCUCAUAAUCAUUUUCUCAUUUCAUAGCCUAUCCUUACAUUUGCCUCCUUGCCAUGACAUAACAUUUGUUUGUUGUUUCCAAUACUUGGAUGUCCCCCUAUAGCUUCCUUUUCCAUUCAACUUUCAGGUGCUCAGAUAUUGACGACAUGAAUAAGCCCGUUACGAAUCUUGAAAUUGAUUUUGAGAAGGCUGUUUGCUUAGGAGAAUUUGAAGCCGAAGAAAAUGCUGAAGAUUAUGUCUCGUCUCCUGAAUUGUUAAGAAUGGUGGAACAAGAGGAUAAACAGGUUUUGCCUCAUGAAGAAUCUGUGGAAACAAUAAAUUUGGGCACUGAAGAGAGGAAACAAGAAGUGAAGAUUGGGACUUCUAUUUCAGAAAGUACCAGGCAUAGUUUGAUCACUUUACUCCGCGAAUACAAAGAUGUUUUCGCGUGGUCAUACCAGGACAUGCCAGGGCUAGAUGAAGAUUUAGUGGUCCAUAAGCUCCCAUUGAAGCCAGAAUACAAGCCCAUCCAGCAAAAAUUAAGACGGAUGAGACCCGAAAUGCUGUUGAAAAUAAAAGAGGAAGUCAAGAAGCAAUUUGAUGCUGGCUUCCUACAAGCCUCCAAAUAUCCAGAAUGGGUGGCUAACAUAGUCCCGGUACCAAAGAAAGAUGGAAAAGUACGAAUGUGCGUGGAUUACCGUGACCUGAAUCGAGCACGCCCAAAAGAUAAUUUUCCCUUGCCACAUAUUGACACGUUGGUGGACAACACAGCAAAACAUUCAUUGUUUUCUUUUAUGGAUGGAUUCUCGGGGUAUAAUUAGAUCAAGAUGGCCCUUGAGGAUAUAGAGAAAACUACCUUCAUAACAAUGUGGGGAACGUUCUGCUAUAAGGUGAUGCCAUUCGGGUUAAAGAAUGCUGGGGCAACAUAUCAGAGGGCUAUGGUGACAAUAUUCCAUGACAUGAUGCAUAAGGAAAUAGAGGUCUACGUCGAUGAUAUGAUUGCUAAAUCUCGAGGAGAAGAAGAACAUGUAAUGAACCUCAAGAAGUUGUUCGAAAGGAUUAGAAAGUUUCAGCUGAAGCUUAAUCCAGCCAAAUGUAUAUUCGGGGCUACCUCGGGAAAAUUGCUAGGCUUCAUUGUCAGUGAAAGAGGUAUCGAAGUUGAUCCAGAUAAAAUAAAAGCCAUCCAAGAAUUACCACCUCCGCGCACGCAAAAGGAAGUUAGAGGAUUUUUAGGGAGAUUAAAUUACAUCGCCCGAUUUAUCGCUCAACUUACCAACCAAUGCGACCCAAUUUUUCGACUCCUUCGAAAACAUAACCCGGGAGAAUGGAAUGAGGAGUGCCAAGUGGCCUUCGAUAAGAUAAAACGGUAUCUGUCUAAUCCUCCUGUGCUAGUACCACCGACCCCUGGAAAACCCUUAAUUUUGUACCUGACCGUGUUUGAAAACUCAAUGGGUUGCGUGCUGGGGCAACAUGAUGAGUCAGGGAGAAAAGAAAAGGCGAUCUACUACCUCAGCAAAAAGUUCACUGAAUAUGAGGCAAAAUAUUCGUCCAUUAAGAAAUAUUGUUGCGCUCUGGUUUGGGUAGCUCGGAGACUCAGACAAUAUAUGUUGUAUCACACGACAUGGCUAAUUUCAAAGCUGGACCCAAUAAAAUACAUGAUGGAAUCGCCGGCACUAUCAGGAAGAAUGGCACGAUGGCAGAUCCUCCUUUCGGAAUAUGACAUUGCCUAUGUAAGUCAGAAGUCAAUAAAAGGGAGCGCAGUAGCUGACUUCUUAGCAACUCGAACGACAGAGGAAUAUGAGCCUUUAAGAUUCGAUUUCCCAGACGAAGACUUAAUGUGCAUCAUAGAAAUAGAAUCCGAGUCAUCAAAAGAGAAGUCAUGGAAGAUGUGCUUUGAUGGUGCGUCAAAUGCUUUAGGGCAUGGAAUUGGAGCAAUCCUGGUAUCACCAGACGGGAAUCAUUAUCCGUUCACUGCAAGACUGAACUUCUUCUGUACCAAUAAUAUCGCAGAAUAUGAGGCCUGUAUCAUGGGACUUCGUGCAGCUAUCGAACGAAACAUCGAGAUCUUGGAGGUGUACGGGGACUCAGCCCUAGUGAUUUACCAAAUCCGUGGAGAAUGGGAAGUGAGGGACUCAAAAUUGAUUAAGUACAGUGAUUUAGUGGCUUGAUUGAUCAAGGAAUUCAAAGAAAUAACUUUUCAUUACUUCCCACGAGAAGAGAACCAACUGGCUGAUGCCCUAGCCACUUUGGCUUCAAUGUUCAAAGCAAGUAGAGAAGCAGAAAUAAUGCCCCUCAAAAUGAGCAUAUACGAGGUCCCUGCACACUGUUGUAGCAUUGAGAAAGAAGUAGACGGACGGCCUUGGUUCCAUGAUAUCUUAGAAUAUAUCAAGAAUCAAAGGUAUCCCGAACAAGCGAAUGAGAACGAUAAAAGAACAAUUAGAAGAAUGGCAGCGGGAUUUGUUCUUGAUGGGGAUAUCCUGUAUAAAAGAGGAAAUGAUCAGAUGCUUUUGAGAUGUGUGGAUGAUGUUGAAACCAGAAAAAUACUUGAAGAGGUCCAUGAGGGAAUUUGCGGAACGCAUGCCAAUGGUUUCAAUAUGGCCAGAAAGAUCAUGAGACUCGGUUAUUAUUGGCUGACAAUGGAAAGUGACUGCAUCAAUUUUGCCAGAAAAUGCCACAAAUGUCAAAUCUACGGCGAUAAAAUUCAUGUAGCCCCUUCACCCCUUCAUGUCAUGACUUCUCCGUGGCCUUUUUCUAUGUGGGGCAUGGAUGUCAUAGGGCCAAUUUCUCCAAAAGCUUCAAAUGGACAUCGAUUCAUUUUUGUAGUUAUUGAUUACUUCACAAAAUGGAUUGAAGCCGCUUCGUUUGCCAAUGUGACGAAGACUGCAGUGUGCAAGUUUUUGAAAAAAGAAAUCAUUUGCCGAUAUGGUUUCCCUGAAAGAAUCAUCUCAGAUAAUGCCACGAAUCUGAACAAUAAGAUGAUGAAAGAAGUGUGCGAGCAGUUCCAAAUAAAGCAUCAUAAUUCCUCGCCCUAUCGCCCAAAGAUGAACGGGGCUGUUGAAGCAGCUAACAAGAACAUUAAGAGGAUCAUUGGGAAAAUGACUGAGACAUAUAAAGAUUGGCACGAGAAACUUCCAUUUGCUUUGUUUGCAUAUCGUACAUCUGUGCGAACAUCUACGGGAGCAACUCCUUUCUCUCUAGUCUAUGGAAUGGAAGCUGUGCUACCUAUCGAGGUUGAGAUCCCCUCUCUGCGAGUAUUGAUGGAAUCAAAGUUUGAAGAAGCAGAAUGGGUUCGAGCUCGAUAUGAUCAGUUGAACCUCAUUGAAGAAAAACGUCUAAGGGCAAUUUGUCAUGGGCAAAUGUACCAAAAAAGAAUGAUCGCAGCCCAUGACAAGAAGGUACGACCAAGAGAGUUCCAUGAAGGAGAACUCGUUCUGAGAAAGAUUCUCCCAAUACAAAAAGACCUGCGAGGAAAAUGGGCACCAAAUUGGGAAGGACCAUACGUUGUAAAAAAGGCAUUCUCGGGAGGAGCUUUAAUCCUUACCGAGAUGGACGGAAAGGAGUUACCGAAUCCGGUGAAUUCAGAUGCGGUGAAGAAAUAUUAUGCUUAAGAUGAAAACCCGAAAAUGGCAUCUAAAAAAAAAGGGCGAAAACCCGAAAAGGGCGUCUUGAUUAGUACAAAAAGAUUAGGAUGAAAACCCGAGAGGGCGUCCUAAUGAAACAAACCUGGCGGUCGAACGAUAGGUCGAGUAGUGAGACUACAGUAUUUGAAGCACUUCUGAAAGCUCAAAAUUUUCUAUGCAAGAAGCCAUGCUCGAAAAGAUUAUUGAUUGAGGAACGUGGAAGAGUUCAUGUGUUGAAUAUCUAGAGCAUUUGUAUCCGUUGAAUACGACCUUUUCUUUCUUUUUGACAUUUUUACUCUCAUUGGUUAACUUUCUUUGUUUGCCGCAUUUGAAAUAAAGGAAUAUGAGAUAUCCUUUUUGUCCCUACCUGACCAUUUUCAUGCAUCUCAUUAUGUGUUUAUUUAAUGAUAAAUAGUGAAAUGACAUACUCUAAACAAAAGAAAUGUCAAGCAUUACCCGGAUAAGAAUUUGAUAAGUGCAAGAUCUUCAAAGCAAGAACAAAGUUUAACCAAGGGCAAAAGGGUGAUAUCUGAGAAACGUUGAUUACUCGUAAAGCUCGAAGACAGGUAUGAGGCCUGAAGAGAAGGUCGAGAAUCAAAACAAUGAACACAGAUCCUCAACAAUCAUGGCGAAAAGGACAUACGACCUAUAUGCUUAAGGAGCACUGCAUAAUCAUGUAGGCAUAAAGGCAUUUAAGACAAACAUGUGCAUAUCAUGAUAACAUCAUGCAUAGCAUAUACAGGUAAUCCAGAAAAGCCAGAAAUCUUGAAUGAGAGUCGCACUGAAUCAAAGGAAAAGAUACCCGAGUUCUACCAAAGGACUGGUUUUGGUAUUUUGAUGUUUUUAAUUCAUGCUUUCCAAGGAAAAUUGACUCAUAUUGCGAGAGGUGAGUCAAGCCUCAGGUCACGCUGAGGUAUUUUAAUUCCUUUUGUUUCAAAAAUCAACUCAUAUUGCUAGAGGUGAGUUGAGCCUCGGGGCACGCCGAGGUACUUUUAGUUUAUGUUUUAAAUUGACUCAUAUUGCGAGAAGUGAGUUAAGCCUUUUAAUUCCUGUUUUUCAAAAAAUCAACUCAUAUUGCGAGAGGUGAGUUGAACCUUUUAAUUUCUGUUUUUCAAAAAUCAACUCAUAAUACAGAGGUGAGUUGAGCCUCGGGCCACAUGCCGAGGUAUUUUCAAAAUCUGUUUGGCAAAUUCUGUGUUCAAAAAUCAACUCAUAAUACAGAGGUGAGUUGAGCCUCGGGUCAUGCCGAGGUAUUUCUUUUAAAUUUUUGUUUUCAAAAAAUCAACUCAUAUUGCGAGAGGUGAGUUGAGCCUCAGGACACGCUGAGGUAAUUUCAAUUUUUUUUUUCCAAAUUUCAACUCAUGUUGCGAGAAAUGGGUUGAGCCUCAGGACACGCUGAGGUAAUUUCAAUUUUUGUUUUUCAAAAUCAACUCAUAUUGCGAGAGGUGAGUUGAGCCUCAGGACACGCUGAGGUAAUUUUAAUUUAUGUUUUUCAAAAAUCAACUCAUAUUGCGAGAGGUGAGUUGAGCCUCGGGGCACGCCGAGGUAUUUUCAAAUUCUACUUUCAAAAAAUCAACUCAUAUUGCGAGAGGUGGGUUGAACCUUUUAAUUUCUACUUUUUCAAGAUCAGCUCAUAUUUCUAGAGGUGAGUUGAGCCUCGGGGCACGCUGAGGUAUUUUCAAUUUUUUGUGUGUUUUAAUUUCAACUCAUAUUGCGAGAGGUGAGUUGAGCCUUGGGUCACAUGCCGAGGUAUUUUCAAAAUCUGUUUGGCAAAUUCUGUGUUCAAAAAUCAACUCAUAUUGCGAGAGGUGGGUUGAACCUUUUAAUUUCUACUUUUUUGAAAUCAACUUAUAUUGCGAGAGGUGAGUUGAGCCUCAGAACACGCUGAGGUAAUUUCAAUUUCUGUUGUCAAAAAAAAAAUCAACUCAUAUUGCGAAAAGUGAGUUGAGCCUUUGCCACAUGCGGAGAUAUUUUCAGUUUUUGUUUUUAAUGUCUGUUUUUAAAGAGUCAAUUCAUAUUGCGAGAAAUGAGUCGAACUCAGGAUCACAUGCCGAGUAAGAAUAAAGAUUGAAGCUGAUGAAAAACACCAGAGUUGGUCUCCCUGAAGCUGCAGUGGAGCCUGUCAAAAGUUACAAGUCUUGUCUCCCUGAGGUCGCAGUAGAACUGAUCGAGGAUAUCAAAUCUUGUCUCGCUAGAGUUACAAAAGAGAAGAUCACGAAUCUCAUCUCACUGAAGUGAUAAAAGAACAGAUUGAAGCUUAGAUCUUAUCUUUAUGAAGCUACGUGGAAGCAGAUCAAAGCCACAAAUCACAUAUCUUUGAAGUCACAUUGGAGUAGAUUUAAACUACAAGGCAUAUAUCAGAAGAUGCAGUGGAUUGGAAGAAGACCAUCUGAACAAGAAGAGCACCAAUGAAGUCAAGACUCGGCAGGACAGGGCAAAAUUGGCCUUUCACUUAGUCUUUGCUCUAUUCCCGUUACACGACAAUGAGCAAAGAGGGGCAGCUGUACUAGGCCAAUUUCGGCCCAAUCUCAUUUACAAAUUAAAACUCCAUUUACAAAACACUAAACCCCUUAAAACCCAAACCCAUUCACACUUUUACAAACCCAAAUACUAUUAACCCAAUACCCUAAACUAACCUGCCCUAAUCCAAAAACCCCUAACCCAAUAAGCCCAUUAAACAAAACAAGCCCAAACCAAUACCAAAUCCCUAGCCCAAGACCAGAAUCGGGAAACCCUAGCAGCUCCCCAAGCCUCCAGCCGCUGCACGCUAGGCCAACCAUGGGCCACCUUGCGCACUACCACCACCACACCCCGCGCAUGCCCUUCUCCUCCAUGCGUCUGACACCGCCUGCAAAAUGAGACACAACAACAGCAGCAACAGAGCAGUAGCGAAUGGAAGAAACAAUAUUUUUUGUACUCUGCUUUGAAACAUUCGGCUAUAAAGCCUAAAGGGAAAAUUUGUAAAGGAAGGAAGGGGGGCAUAUUUUUACGAACGAAUACACAAUAGGCAAUACAAAAAAAGCAAUAUUGGAAGGUGAUUUCUCCGAUCGAAAUCUCUGGGCUUUCUCUUUGUGAUUAUUUUUUUUUAUUUCGAGAGUAAAUAAAAGAAAAGGGGAACACGAACACAGACGCACACAGAAUAUACACGCACAGAAAUAUAUAAAAAAACAAUUAAGAAUUUGCAAGGGUAAUCUCAAGUUUUCUUUCGUUCUUUCUUUUUUUUUUCUUUUUUGUUUGGUUUAGAUCGUCUUUUAGUAGGUAAAUCGACUCCAAUGAGAUCCCGAAUACUUUAAGAUACAAAAGUAGGGGAGAGGGGUCAAGUGGUGUUGAAUCUCUAUUUUAUGAACUUUCUUCGUUUUUUUUAAAAAUGUAUGAGAUUUGAAGUUUUAUUUUUUCUCAAGUAAAAAAGAAAAUACUUACUAAUUUCCUCAAGGCAUGGUCGAAUACUUACGGCCAUAGAACCAGGAAUUGUUUUGCGCGCUGCUGGACACCAAAUCCGAUGGAGAUUCAGCUGCUUGUAAAAGGAACCCUAGCAAAUUUAUUUUCAAGGCUGCUGGUUUUUGUUAAAAUGGAUGGGUAUUUGAAAGGAAAGGAAGGGAAAAUGGUUUAAAAUGGUCUGAAAUACAAAACAGUGCUGCCCAUGACCAUAAGGGUCCGCGCGUGGGCCCGAAUAGAAAAAUGGAUCUGCGCCAUGUUGUGUGAAUGGGGAAAUUGCGCGCUGAAUCCUUCCCUUGCGCACAACCUUCAAUUCGCGCCCCAAUUUCCCCCCCAACCAAUAAACGACGCCGUUUCAAGGGUGGGUCGGGUCGACCCGACCCGCCCCAGCAAGGAUCCGCGUGUUUUUAAGAGCGGAAGGGCUAUUUGCGCAAUCAGCGCUUCCGCAUUUUUGGUGUUUUAAAUUAGGUUUAUGUUUGUUUCUGAAUUGACCCCAGAAUUUUGCUCAGUUUUUAAUUUAACCCCCGUAUAUGCGCAGCGUUUUGGAAAGUUUGAAAAUUUGCACUUUUAAUACCCCAUGGUUUUACCCGCAUUAAAAUAGGUCCUUUCCCUUUUAAUUUUUUUAAAUUCGCCCCAAAGCUUUGUUUUUAGUUCAUUUUUGGUCCUUUUUGUUUCCUUAUUUAAUAUGAUUAUUGUUAUUUCCAAUAUUAUAGUAUUAUUAUUACUAUAUAUUAGUAUACAUUUUUCUUUUACAUGUGAAUAUUGUAUAUAUUUAUAUAUAAUAUUAUUUUUAAUUAUUGUAUUUUAAUAUUAUUAUUAUAUUAUAUAUACUUCUUCGUAUUUUAUUAUUAUUAUUAGUAUUAUUAUCUUUAUUCAUAUUAGCAUACAUAUGUUAUUAUAUAUAUACACAUUUCAUAUAGUAUUAUCUUUUCUUUACUUUUAUAUUUAUUAUUAUAUUCAUUGUUAAUACAUCUAUUUUUUAUACAUGUAUAUAUACCCUUUUUGUAAUAUUAUUUUUUACACCUAUAUGUAUAUAUUUUAUUUUAUUGUUGCUAGUUAUGUACUUUUUUACUAUCUUAUACGUACUUCAAACACUAUACGUAUAGUAUAUUUCUAACACUACUACUAUUUAUAUAAAUAUUUUACGUAUAUACUCUUAAUUAUCUUCAUAUGUGUUUUCAUUGUAUUCUUAUUACGUUCUCGUAUUCAAUGCUAACAUUGCAUUUGAUCUUGCAUGCACGGUUAUUAUUUUCUAAUAUUAUUGUCACCUCGAUUAUUUGUUUCAACAUAUUCCUAGCUCUUUCAUUUAUUGAUUUUUAUUUCAUAUUAUUUUACUUUGCAUUAUUUCGAAAAUCGUAUUCUUGUUUUGCUAAUUAAUUUCAAUAAUCAAGGCAAUAUAUCGAUUUAACAUUAAGUCAUCAAGUUCAUCGCUAUGUUGGGUGAACGUCAAUUGACUCGUGUUAAAGCGAUAUACCCUUCUAAAAGAAAAAACGGAAUAAACUAAGUUUCUUGUUUUUUAAUGGGAUCACGACUAAAUUUUACAUUGAACCAUAUUUUUGAAAAUUAAGACAACAUGUGUUUAUGAGAUACCAAUUUUUGGGCGUCGCGAGGGUGCUAAUACCUUCCUUGCGCGUAACCGACUCCCGAACCCUAAUUUUCCUCUGGCUUUUAACGUAGACCUAAAUUCAGCCUUCCUUUUGUUUUUUUUUAAAAAAGAAGUCUAACAGGUGUCCGGUCACACCUAAUAAAAAGGAUUGGUGGCGACUCCCUCUUUAUUUUGAAAUCGAAUUUCAGUUUCCAAACUUUUUCACUAGAUCGCCACAAUUAGCGACCCCGGAACCAAUUUUUAUGUCGCUACACUAAUUACAAUAAAGAAACAACUAACAUCUUUUAGACUUUACCAUUAGAUUUUAUAGUUCAUUAUAAAUUUGUAUUCUUAUACAUAUACUACGAACCCCAAUAUAUGUCUCCUGUGAAGCCUAAAAUGUGUCCUCUAGUGGAGUUGACCCUUCGGCAAACCAUGUGCAUCUACGUCACUAGAUGCGAUCCUAAAUUAGGUGAACAUCAUGUAACACGCACCUUCGCCAAACAUAUGCGAGGUGCAUCUAGGGAAGUCUAAGAUCAUUGAUUACCCAAUUGUUCUAAAACGUUAUAUUCUAGGACAUCACACCACUGUCACUACCAAGAAGCAACAUCAGAUCCCAUUGUCAAUAGUCCCUAAACAUGUUGCAUGUAAGACCCCUUAACCCUAAACCGUCGCCAGAACAGGGUUACGAGACAUUACCGAACUUAUCGGACAAUUUACAACUAAUUCUUAAAUAAAUAACAAACAUAUUAUAAUAUAAUCAUAAAUUCAUAUAAAACUUUUGCUAAUUGACUUCAUUUAAAAAAAAACUCAAUAUAACAUCUUUAUAAAUAUUUAACUUUCUCUACAAUUUCAAAUCGCAACCAAUCCAAACAAAUCACUUCAUGAAUUUAUACAUCUCUAAUUAUAACAAACUAAUAAUAUAAAGUUCUAACAUUUUUAUGUUUAUAACAAUCUAACAUAAGAUGUCUAAUUGAUUCAUUUAAAUUAUCAUUCAAAAAAAUUGCCCAAAGCUAUGAUAUAGGCUAUGUUUAAGACAUAUGUAAUUGUAUGGAACAACCAUUACCAUCAUUUAUCAUUAAUAUUUUAUGUAUCAAAAUAACAACAAAUUACAACCUAGGUACAUGCCAUUUUCAAAAGAGAAAAUACAUCACCACGUAUUUGAGUUCAGAAUUGACUUGGAUGUUGAUUUGUACCUAACCUGUGCACGAAAAUAAACUAUACGCUGAGUAUGCACUUAAUGGUAUUUCUAUAAACCAAUACUUAAAUCAAUUAUUAGCUCAUAUCCAUUUUGACUAUAAAACCUUAUUUACAUAACAAUAGUUAAUUUCUUAACUCGAUAAAGUAUAUGAUUCUAAUCAUAUUUAAUCAAUAACAAUCAGUUAUUCAAUACAGUAAUUUAGUUAUUCAGUAACUAUCAAAUAUUCAUUGCAGUAGUUUAGUUAUUCAAUAACUAUCAAUUAUUCAAUACAGUAAUUUAGUUAUUCAGUAACUAUCAAUUAUUUAGUACAGUAGUUUACCCCUAUUAACAUAACUUGGACCUAGACGGAUACACGGAUCCAAACAACACACUCGUACGGCACUUAGUGCCUUAUCGGCUUUGUCGAAGUAAACAGUAACAGUAUGGUACAUAGUACCUCAUCGGAUUAAACCCAAGUAACAGUAACAGUAACAGUACGGCACACAAGGUGCCUCAUCGACUCGAAGUCGAAGUAAUAGUACGACACUUAUAGUGUCUCAUCGACUCAAGAUCGAAGUAUCUCUGAACACUAAACACAAAUUCACAUACAUUCAAUUUAAUAUCAAAACACUAAUACUUACCUUAAUAUCUUUCCAUACAUAUAUAAUAAUAAUAACAACAAUUUAAAUGUUAAGUUCGAUUUGUAGAAAUACAAACCGUAAUUCUCGAAUUACUCUUAGUCAACCUUCUCAUUUCCUUUCUUUGUCGAGGUCUCCGGUAUUAUGUUAGCUACGGAAAUUAAAAUAAUUAUACCAUUAAUUACAGCACUCAUUAUAACAAAUGAUUGAAUUUCUAUUCAAUUUAUACCUUAUUUUCAAUUAGGUUCUAACUAACUCAUUCACUUUACUAACUUAAUUCAUACUUCAUUCUUAUUCAAAUUCCUAUCAAAUUCAACUUGACUAUCAAGUGUUUAUAAUAAAACCCUAAUUUAAAACUUCUUUUAAUUGGAUCCCUCAAUCACCAAAACUUAUAGCCUAGUUUACAAUUUAAUCCUUUAAUCAAUUCUAACUUAAAAUUCAUUCAAUUAAACCCCUAAUUCAUUAUUUUGUUCAACAUGAACUAUAUUCAAAAACCUAAAAACUUCUAAAACCCCAACUUAAUUUCAACAAAACUUUGUUCUAAAGCUUUUAAAACAUCAAAUUUAAAUAAAAAUGACUUAAUUGACUUGCCAAUUAAAGCUUAAAGCUCCCAAACCCUAGUUUUUCCCUUUUUCUUUCUUUUUUUCUUUUUCCCUGGUACUUUCGAAUAGCCUAUUCUGUUUUGGUUUCCUUCUUUGUUUUAUUUUCUUUUAUUUUAUGCUUUAUUUGUUUGAUAAUAAUAUAAUAUCUUAAUAAAUAUCUAUUUAAUAAUCAAUAUAUUUGUUACAAGUGUAAUAUUACUUAUAUUUACACAUGUACUAAAUCAUCAUCAUACAUUUGUCAUGUUUUAAUUUAUUUAUCACAUAAAAAUCUUAUAAUAUAAUUAUUUAACUAAUAAAUAUCUUUUACUAAUAAUAAAUAAUAAAUAAUAAAUAUCUAUUUACUUAAAUAAUAAGUAAUUUAAAUCCAUGAAUUACAUUUUUCAUUUUGGUCCUUUAUAUUUUUUUAAUCUAUAAUUCAAUUUUUACUCCUUAUUCAAUCUAGUCAUUCUUCCUAUUUUCUCUUAAUUAAGCUAAAUUCGCCUAAUUAAAACUUAAUUAAACACACUACUGACUCAGAAAUAUUCCUAAUAAUUAUUUUCAAACUCGGUUUACUAAGACGGAGGCUCGAUAAUAUACUUUUCUGAUGCCCGUGAACUUUAGGUCAUUACAUUUAUUCCCCCUUAAUAAAUUUCGUCCUCGAAAUUUACCUAAGAAAAGAUGAGGAUACUGUGCUCUCAUUAUCUCUUUUAGUUCCCCAGUCACUUCUUCUACAUUAUGACUCCACCAUAAAACUUUCACUAAAGGAACUUGUUUAUUACGCAAUUCCUUUACCUCACAAGCCAAUAUCUUAAUCGGUUCUUCUUCAUAUGACAGAUCGGGUCGAAUUUCAAUAUCCUCUGUAGAAAUAAUAUGUGAAGGAUCUGAUCGAUAUCUUUUAAGCAUAGAAAUAUGAAAAAGAUCAUGAUUCUUUUGUAAUUCUGGAGGCAAAGCCAUACGAUAUGCAACUGGUUCAACUCUCUCAAUAAUCUCAUAUGGCCCAAUAAAACGAGGACUUAGUUUUCCUUUUCGACCGGACCUCAUAAUUUUCUUCCAAGGUGAAACUUUUGAAAAUACCUUAUCACCAACCAUAUACUCAAUAUCUCUACGUUUCAAAUUUGUUUAUGAUUUCUGCCUGUCAAAAGCUGUCUUCAAUCUUUCUCGAAUCUUCUUAACAGUAUCUUCUGUUUCUUGAGUCAAUUUUGGUUCAAUCACUUUUCUCUCAUUUAAUUCUAUUUAACACACUAGUUACUGAUACCUUCGACCAUAUAAAGCUUCAUAUGGUGCCAUUUGAAUACUUGAUUGAAAACUAUUAUUGUAUACAAAUUCAGCUAAUGGUAGAUAACAUUUCCAACCUGAUUCAAAAUCAAUAAUACAAGCUCAAAGCAUAUCUUCUAAAAUCUGGAUAACUCGUUCUGAUUGUCCAUCGGUCUGUGGAUGGAAAACUGUGCUAAAAUUAAGUCAAGUACCAAGAGAUUCAUGUAGUUGCCUCCAAAAUAUGGAUGUAAACCGUGGAUCUCGAUCAGAAAUUAUUGACACCAGAAUACCAUGUAAUCGUACUAUCUUUCGAAUAUAAACUUCAACAAGUUUCUAAAGUGACCAAUUCGUUCUGACUGCUAUAAAAUGAGCUGACUUUGUAAGCCAAUCAACAAUCACCCAAAUAGCAUUUUUCUUACUUGGUGACAAUGGCAACCCUGUUACAAAAUCCAUUGUGAUGCAGUCCCAUUUUCGUUCAGGAAUGUUAAUAGGCUGAAGUAAACUAGUUGGAACUUGAUGCUCUACUUUGACUCGCUAACAUGUCAAACAUUUAGCCACAAAUUCCACAAUAUCUCUCUUCAUACUUGGCCACCAAUAUAAUUCUCGUAAAUCACGGUACAUUUUCGUUCCUCGGGGAUGUAAUGAAAAAGGACUAUCAUGUGCUUCUCGAAGUAUCAACUCUUUCAAUUCUGAAAUAUUUAGAACACAGAUCCGAUUAUGAAAUCUUAGACAAUCAUGCUCAUCAAUACUAAAAUUCUCUGCUAUGCCACUCUGAACCAUUUCUUUUCUCUUCAUUAGCUUAUCAUCUUCUAAUUGAGCUGACUUGAUUCGUUCAAACAUCAUUGGUUUAAUUUUUAAUUCACCCAAUAAACCUCCAUCAUCACUAAUUCUGAUUGUCCAUUUAAAGAAGCAUCACUAUACACAAUAAAAUCUUUCCCUGAUUCUGGUAAAGUCAAAAUUGGUGCCUUUGUCAACAUCUGCUUCAAUUUCAUAAAACUUUCUUGAGAUUGAUCAUUCCAAACAAACGGAACAUUAUUUUGCAAUAGCUUUGUCAUUGGUAAAGCUAUUUUUGAAAAUUCAUUCACGAACCUUCGAUAAUACCCAGCCAAUCCAAGAAAACUACGUACCUCUGACACAUUUUUGGGAGUUUUCCACUGGACGAUUGCUUCAAUCUUCUUUUGAUCCACUCUAAUUCCAUCUGCUGACACCACGUGACCAAGAAAUACCGCCUCUGAUAACCAAAAUUCACACUUACUCAAUUUCCCAUACAACUGUUUCUCUCGUAACAUUUGUAAAACAAUUUGAAGAUGUUGCUCAUGUUCAGAUUCUGUUGCUCAUGUUCAGAUUCAGACUUUGAAUAUACCAAAAUGUCAUCAAUAAAGAUUACCACGAACUGAUCCACGUAUGGCUAAAAAAUUCGGUUCAUAAGAUCCAUAAAAGUAGCUGGGGGAUUUGUUAACCCAAAUGGCAUCACUAAGAACUCAUAAUGACCAUAUCUUGUAUGAAAUACUGUCUUCAGUACAUCACUUUCUUUCACCUUUAACUGAUAGUAGCCCGAUCUUAAAUCAAUCUUUGAAAAUACUGAAGCUCCUUUCAAUUGAUCAAAUAAAUCAUCAAUACGUGGUAAUGAAUAUUUAUUCUUGAUUGUCACAUUGUUCAAUUACCGAUAAUUAAUACACAACCGCAUCAAACCAUCUUUCUUUUUAACAAAUAACACUAGAGCUCCCUAAUGUGAUGUACUAGGUCGUAUAAAACCUCGAUCCAACAAAUCUUGCAAUUGUAUUUACAAUUCCUUCAACUCCAUAAGUGACAUAUGAUAUGGAGGUAUUGACACUGAAUCUGUACCCGGGUAUACUUCGAUCACAAAUUCAACUUCCCGAUCAGGAAGUAAUCCAGGUAACUCUUCAGAGAAUACAUCAGGAAAUUCACAUACAGUCCUGAUUUUACUAUAUUUACUCUCCACCCAAUCCGAAUUAAUUACAUAUGCUAAGAAAGUAGCACAACCUUGACAAAGAAGCUUACUAGCUUUAAUUGCUGAGGUAAUACGAACUGAUCCACUGGUCUGAAUACCAUUUAAUUCAAUCUGAUCACCAAUUUCAUUCUGAACAGUGAACUUCUUUUUAUAGCAGUCCAAAAUUACCCCAUGUUCUGAUAGCCAGUCCAUGCCCAAUAUAAUGUGAAAGUCGCCAAAUGGCAUAAUUAACAAGUCAACAGAAAAGAUUCUAUCCUAAAUCAUUAACGGGCAUCUUCAACAUAUUUGAUUCACUAAUAUAGUGUGCCCCAAAGAACUAGAUACCUCUACUGUUACUCUAGACAGUUCAGGUUUUAAUUUUCCAUUCUCAGCUAAUUUUGUGUUAACAUAAGAAUAUGACAAUCCCGGAUCUAUUAAAGCAUAAACGGGCUCUAAAUGCAAUAAAAAUACACCUGUCACCACAUCGUAUGCAUCUCCUUCUUCACGAGUUCUUACAACAUAUGCUCAGGCUAGGGUUUUAGCUUCCGAUUGUUGGGUGGCAACUUCACUUGUUCUUUUAGCACCUCCUCUACUAUCUGAGCCACCUCUGCCUGAUCCUCAACCUCUAGAAGCAGAUUCAGAUCUCUGUGAUACUGUUGGUGCUGCUUUAUUAAUCUUUGGACAGUCUUUUAUGAAAUGAUUGGUGGAUCCGCAACGGAAACAUCCUCCAGUUAAUUUCCAACACUCUCCUCGAUGUUUAUUCCCACAGUAUUGACCUUCCGAAAUUUUAGUAUUCUGAGAUGACCCUCUGAUGCUGCUAGUGGAAACUGUCUUCUGCCUACCACGAUUCCUGUCACUUCUAUUUGAUCUAGAACCAAAUCUCCAACUGCCUCGAAAUUCUUUUGAUCUCUUAAGUUAUGGAUUAGAACUUGUAAUUCCGGGACGCUUUCCAAGUGAACAAGAAGUUUCAGGCUUUUUAUUUAAUCCCAACACUUGUUCAACGAAAUCUCCAUACGUACGCUUCUCCUUGUAACAAAGAAACGGCACAUAAUAAACUUUCCUGUGGGGUGCAUUCAAGUUACUUCAAAAUUCUCUUUGUGGUUUCUAUCUAGUUUUCAGCUACAAACGGAUCAACUCCCCUUGAACCCAGAAAUUUGGUAGCACCAUACUUCUGCAACUCUUUAAUCGAGACUCUUCGGGUAGUAGGAAUAGGGGCAUAACAGGUAUAGUUCCUACUGCUCUUUGAAGGGCAUCGACGACCACUCUGAGUAUUUCUGAAUUAUCUCAUUAUCUAGUAUCACUCCUUUUAACAUUUGAUGGUUGAUUACCUACCGGGUUUAUACUUGGAAUUGCAGACUCCGAUUUAUUCAUAUCAUAUGAUUCAUCAUCUUCAUUAUACAUUUCUCGAUCAGUAUCUUCAAUAUUUUCACCAGACAUCUUUAAUUAUAAAACAGAAACAAUAAUUCAGUAUACAUAUAUAUCAGCAUCCAAUCCCGACUUAAAUUUAACUCAAUUAUGACAUGUACCUCUAGACUCAUUUCUGUACUCAAUUUAAUCCUAGAAUCGACUAAACCUAAAUAGCUUUGAUACCAUUAAAAUGUAACACCCCCUAACCUUAAACCGUCGCCGGAACAGGGUUACGAGACAUUAUCAAACUUAUCAGACAAUUUACAAAUAAUUCUUAAAUAAAUAACAAACAUAUUAUAAUAUAAUCAUAAAUUCAUAUAAAAAUUUUGCUAAUUGACUUCAUUUUUAAAAAAAAAACUCAAUAUAACCCCUUUAUAAAUAUUUAACCUUCCCUGCAAUUUCAAAUCGCAACCAAUCAAAACAAAUCAAUUCAUGAAUUUAUACAUCUCUAAUUAUAACAAACUAAUAAUAUAAAGUUCUAACAUUUUUAUGUUUAUAAAAAUCUAACAUAAGAUGUCUAAUUGAUUCAUUUAAAUUAUCAUUCAACAAAAUUGCCUAAAGCUAUUAUAUAGACUAUGUUUAAGACAUAUGUAAUUGUAUGGAACAACCAUUACCAUCAUUUAUCAUUAAUAUUUUAUGUAUCAAAAUAACAACAAAUUACAACCUAGGUACAUGCCAUUUUCAAAAGAGAAAAUACAUCACCAUGUAUUUGAGUUCGGAAUUGACUUGGAUGCUGAGUCGUUAGUCACUUUUGUACCUAACCUACGCACGGAAACAAACCGUACGCUGAGUAUGCACUCAGCGGUAUUUUUAUAAACCAAUACUUAAAUCAAUUAUUAGCUCAUAUCCAUUUUGACUAUAAAACCUUAUUUACAUAACAAUAGUUAAUUUCUUAACUCUUCCUCGAUAAAGUAUAUGAUUCUAAUCAUAUUUAAUCAAUAACAAUCAGUUAUUCAGUAUAGUAAUUUAGUCAUUCAGUAACUAUCAAAUAUUCAUUGCAAUAGUUUAGUUAUUCAAUAUUCAGUACAGUAGUUUACCCCUAUUAACAUAACUCGGACCUAGACGAAUACACGGAUCCAACCAACACAUCAGUACGGCACUUAGUGCCUCAUCGACUUAAAGUCGAAGUAACAGUAUGACACUUAUAGUGCCUCAUCGAAUCAAGGUCGAAGUAUCCCUGAACACUUCCAAUCCUAUGGCAUGCCAAUUAUAUCCGACUCAGUCCGAUACAGUUAAUAGGGUAUUCAACUCAUUUAUCAAUUCACAGUAAGUAAUCAUUUCAAUAUCAAUUUCACAAAAAUCACAAAUUCACAUACAUUCAAUUCAAAAUCAGAACACUAAUACUUACCUUAAUAUCUUUCCAUACACAUAUAAUAAUAAAAGCAACAAUUUAAAUGUUAAAUUCGGUUUAUAAAAAUACAAACCGUAAUUCUCGAAUUACUUUUAGUCAACCUUCUCCUUUCCUUUCUUUGUCUAGGUCUCCGGAAUUACGUUAGCUACGAAAAAUAAAAUAAUUAUACCAUUAAUUACAACACUCAUUAUAAUAAAUAAUUGAAUUUUUAUUCAAUUUAUACAUUAUUUUCAAUUAGGUCUUAACUAACUCAUUCACUUUACUAACUUAAUUCGUACUUCAUUCUUAUUCAAAUUCCUAUCAAAUUCAACUUAACUAUCAAGUGUUCAUAAUAAAACCCUAAUUUAAAACUUCUUUCAAUUUGAUCCCUCAAUCACCAAAACUUAUAGCCUAGUUUACAAUUUAAUCCUUUAAUCAAAUCUAACUUAAAAUUCAUUCAAUUAAACCCCUAAUUCAUUAUUUUGUUCAACAUGAACUAUAUUCAAAAACCUAAAAACUUCCAAAUCCUUAACUUAAUUUCAACAAAACUUUGUUCUAAAGCUUCUAAAACAUCAAAUUUAAAUAAAAAGGACUUAAUUGACUUACCAAUUAAAGUUUAAAGCUUCCAAACCCAGUUUUUCCUUUUUCUUUCUUUUCUUCUUUUUUUCCCCUGGUACUUACGAAUAACCUAUUCUGUUUUGGUUUCCUUUUUUGUUUUAUUUUAUGCUUUAUUUGUUUAAUAAUAAUAUAAUAUCUUAAUAAAUAUCUAUUUAAUAAUCAAUAUAUUUAUUACAAAUGUAAUAUUACUUAUAUUUACAUAUUUACCAUAUCAUCAUCAUACAAUUGUCAUGUUUUAAUUUAUUUAUCACAUAAAAAUCUUAUAAUAUAAUUAUUUAAUUAAUAAAUAUCUUUUAUUUAAUAAUAAAUAAUAAAUAUCUAUUUACUUAAAUAUUAAGUAAUUUAAAUUCAUAAAUUGCAAUUGUAUCCUUAUUUUUAUUACAAAUGUAUAUUUUAUUGCCAUACAUUAAAUAAUAAUUUAUACUAUUAUAUUCUAAUAUUAAUUAUAAUAAUUUAAAUCAUUAAAAAUUUUUAGAUUUUUCUCAUUGUUUUACGGUCUCAACUAUUACUUAAUGGCAUAUUUUCUAUUUUGGUCCUUUAUAUUUUCUUUUAAUCUAUAAUUCAUUUUACCCCUUAUUCAAUCUAGUCAUUCUUCCUAUUUUCUCUUAAUUAAGCUAAAUUCAGCUAAUUAAAACAUAAUUAAAUACACUACUAGACUCACAAAUAUUCUUAAUAAUUAUUUUCGAACUCAAUUUACUAAAACGGAGGCCCGAUAAUGUACUUUUCUGAUGCCCGUGAACUUUGGGUCAUUACAUUGCAAACCUUAUCUCCCACAAUAAAAGGACUCAUUCAAUGGCUCAGAGAACAAAUGAACACACCAUGUCUUCUUCCUUCCCAAAGAUCCAUCCCAAAAAACCUGUCAUCCUCUGUACCUUUCCACCUUCCCGUAGGUGAACCACCACGCUAUCCACCAUCUUCUAUCUCUUAUUAAUCAAACCGGUUAACAAUUACAUGUAAUAAAAAAUUUACUAAUAAGUGUUAGGUGACGUUAUAAGACAUAUUAUACUCUUAAAGUAGACGUAGGUUUGAACAUUGAAGACAAUAUUAUAGGAAGGGGCAAUCAUGAAUCUUGAGCAUGAGCCACAAAAUAGAUCCAAUAAUUAAAAAAAAUAGCUCUUUUAAAAUUACUAUAAGAAAUAAUUAUUUAAAUUGAUUUCUUUUGGAAAAUAUAGAAAUAAAACUAAGGUUUAAUUCAUAAAUUGAUACAUAAACUAUAUUAUUUUUCUCAAGUUGGUAUUUAAACUUUUUUUUAUCAUAAGUAACACAUAAACUAUUUUUUUUUCCAAAUUGGUACCCUAUUAGUCAACCGUCAAUGAAAACUGUUGGACCUAUUAGAAAGAUAAAAGACAACCAAUUAAAAACUACCGUAUUGCAUAAAAAGAAAAAUAAAUAUUAUUUUCUCUUUAUAUUGUACUAGGCCAAUUUCGGCCCAAUCUCAUUUACAAAUUAAAACUCCAUUUACAAAACACUAAACCCCUUAAAACCCAAACCCAUUCACACUUUUACAAACCCAAAUACUAUUAACCCAAUACCCUAAACUAACCUGCCCUAAUCCAAAAACCCCUAACCCAAUAAGCCCAUUAAACAAAACAAGCCCAAACCAAUACCAAAUCCCUAGCCCAAGACCACAAUUGGGAAACCCUAGUAGCUCCCCAAGCCUCCAGCCGCCGCACGCUAGGCCAACCAUGGGCCACCUUGCGCACUACCACCACCACACCCCGCGCAUGCCCUUCUCCUCCAUGCGUCUGACACCGCCUGUAAAACGAGACACAACAACAGCAGCAACAGAGCAGUAGCGAAUGGAAGAAACAAUAUUUUUUGUACUCUGCUUUGAAACAUUCGGCUAUAAAGCCUAAAGGGAAAAUUUGUAAAGGAAGGAAGGGGGGGCAUAUUUUUACGAACGAAUACACAAUAGGCAAUACAAAAACAGCAAUAUUGGAAGGUGAUUUCUCCGAUCGAAAUCUCUGGGCUUUCUCUUUGUGAUUAUUUUCUUUUUUUUUUAUUUCGAGAGUAAAUAAAAGAAAAGGGGAACACAAACAUAGACGCACACAGAAUAUACACGCACAGAAAUAUAAAAAAAAACAAUUAAGAAUUUGCAAGGGUAAUCUCAAGUUUUCUUUCGUUCUUUCUUUUUUUUUCCUUUUUGUUUGGUUUAGAUCGUCUUUUAGUAGGUAAAUCGACUCUAAUGAGAUCCCGAAUACUUUAAGAUACAAAAGUAGGGGAAAGGGGUCAAGUGGUGUUGAAUCUCUAUUUUAUGAACUUUCUUCGUUUUUUUUUAAAAAUGUAUGAGAUUUGAAGUUUUAUUUUUUCUCAAGUAAAAAAGAAAAUACUUACUAAUUUCCUCAAGGCAUGGUUGAAUACUUACGGCCACAGAACCAGGAAUUGUUUUGCGCGCUGCUAGACACCAAAUCCGAUGGAGAUUCAGCUGUUUGUAAAAGGAACCCUAGCAAAUUUAUUUUCAAGGCUGUUGGUUUUUGUUAAAAUGGAUGGGUAUUUGAAAGGAAAGGAAGGGAAAAAUGGUUUAAAAUGGUCUGAAAUACAAAACAGUGCUGCCCAUGACCAUAAGGGUCCGCGCGUGGGCCCGAAUAGAAAAAUGGAUCUGCGCCAUGUUGUGUGAAUGGGGAAAUUGCGCGCUGAAUCCUUUCCUUGCGCACAACCUUCAAUUUGCGCCCCAAUUUCCCCCCCAACCAAUAAACGACGCCGUUUCAAGGGUGGGUCGGGUCGACCCGACCCGCCCCAGCAAAGAUCCGCGUGUUUUUAAGAGCGGAAGGGCUAUUUGCGCAAUCAGCCCUUCCGCAUUUUUGGUGUUUUAAAUUAGGUUUAUGUUUGUUUCUGAAUUGACCCCAGAAUUUUGGUCAGUUUUUAAUUUAACCCCUGUAUAUGCGCAGCGUUUUGGAAAGUUUGAAAAUUUGCACUUUUAAUACCCCAUGGUUUUACCCGCAUUCAAAUAGGUCCUUUCCCCUUUAAUUUUUUUAAAUUCACCCCAAAGCUUUGUUUUUAGUUCAUUUUUGGUCCUUUUUGUUUCCCUAUUUAAUAUGAUUAUUGUUAUUUCCAAUAUUAUAGUAUUAUUAUUAUUAUUACUAUAUAUUAGUAUACAUUUUUCUUUUACAUGUGAAUAUUGUAUAUAUUUAUAUAUAAUAUUAUUUUUAAUUAUUGUAUUUUAAUAUUAUUAUUAUAUUAUAUAUACUUCUUCGUAUUUUAUUAUUAUUAUUAUUAGUAUUAUUAUCUUUAUUCAUAUUAGCAUACAUAUGUUAUUAUAUAUAUACACAUUUCAUAUAGUAUUAUCUUUUUUUUACUAUUAUAUUUAUUAUUAUAUUCAUUGUUAAUACAUCUAUUUUUUAUACAUGUAUAUAUACCCUUUUUGUAAUAUUAUUUUUUACACCUAUAUGUAUAUAUUUUAUUUUAUUGUUGCUAGUUAUGUACUUUUUUACUAUCUUAUACGUACUUGAAACACUAUACGUAUAGUAUAUUUCUAACACUACUACUAUUUAUAUAAAUAUUUUACGUAUAUACUCUUAAUUAUCUUCAUAUGUGUAUUCAUUGUAUUCUUAUUACGUUCUCGUAUUCAAUGCUAACAUUGCAUUUGAUCUUGCAUGCACGGUUAUUAUUUUCUAAUAUUAUUAUCACCUCGAUUAUUUGUUUCAACAUAUUCCUAGCUCUUUCAUUUAUUGAUUUUUAUUUCAUAUUAUUUUACUUUGCAUUAUUUCGAAAAUCGUAUUCUUGUUUUGCUAAUUAAUUUCAAUAAUCAAGGCAAUAUAUCGAUUUAACAUUAAGUCAUCAAGUUCAUCGCUAUGUUGGGUGAACGUCAAUUGACUCGUGUUAAAGCGAUAUACCCUUCUAAAAGAAAAACAGAAUAAACUAAGUUUCUUGUUUUUUAAUGGGAUCACGACUAAAUUUUACAUUGAACCGUAUUUUUGAAAAUUAAGACAACAUGUGUUUAUGAGAUACCAAUUUUUGGGCGUCGCGAGGGUGCUAAUACCUUCCUUGCGCGUAACCGACUCCCGAACCCUAAUUUUCCUCUGGCUUUUAACGUAGACCUAAAUUCAGCCUUCCUUUUGUUUUUUUUAAAAAAGAAGUCUAACAGGUGUCCGGUCACACCUAAUAAAAAGGAUCGGUGGCGACUCCCUCUUUAUUUUAAAAUCGAAUUUCAGUUUCCAAACUUUUUCACUAGAUCGCCACAAUUAGCGACCCCGGAACCAAUUUUUAUGUCGCUACAGCUGGCGACUCCACUGGGGACUUUUGAGAGUUGAGUCUGAUGUUAAACGCGUAUUGUCAAAUUUUUAAAAUCCUUUGUUCAAAUUAAUUUUUAAUCGUGAUCCUUGAAUUUUUUUUUGAAAAGUCAUGCAUUUGCAUUUGGUUUUUUUUAAUUAAUAGUUUUCUAACUUGUUUUGUCUUUCUGUUUUUUUAGCUUUAAGUUUUACAUUUUUUUAGUUGUUUUAGUAAAAAUAAAAUUUAAAAAGGUUUGUGAGUUUCUCCCCACACACCGUGCACUUGCAUUCUUGCAUAACAUGAGCUCUCUACCCGGGCUCCAUCCGUUUAAGUGGAAGUAAACGCUACGCCUUCGUGAGUUAACUCGUCCCUCCGCAUAGGCUAGUGAAAUACUUUCGGGUUACAUAUGACUUAUGUUUUCGUGAGUUAACUCGUCCUUCCGCAUAGGCAUAAGUAAAUGUAAUCCCUCGAAUUGAUCUCGUAAGCCUAUGAUGGGCCAUGACCGAGGUUCUGUACUAAUCUUGGUAGAUGACAGUGCAGACGAUUCGAGUACCCAUCUAGAACCAAAACCGCAUAUAGUGAAUCAUACGAGCCAUCCAAUUAGAGCCAUGCCGAACCUCUGUCCGCUUAUAGUCAUCAAAAUAAGUACACGGGGAAAAUACCUUUUGCCAUCCAGUUACACUGUUUGUGCAAAAUAAUUGGAUUGGGUAGUUUAAUUUGUUUUUCAAAUUAUAUUUGUUGUGUUUACUAACCAAGUUUGUUUGUUUUCACUUUUAUUUUCAUCAUGCAUCAUAGGCAUCAUAUUAAGAAGGUGUUGACUAAAGGUUGGUUGCCAAAAAACGGGUUUCUGAUGGAGGAGUCAAUUACACAAAUAACCGAGAAGAGUGCCGUGGUUCGGGACUGGUCUCUAAAAAUUCAGAAAGAAAAGGGGGAUAGUCUAGUGGAAGGGUGUGUCGCCAAUUUACCCGAACAUAUAACUGUAAAUGUUCGCCAAAAUAACCUUGAGGAUUUGGUACGAAUUUGGAAUCAGUGGGAUUCAGACACUAGAGACAUUUUCACUGAGAGGUAUGGAGAUAUAGCUCACCUGAUCACCAUCCGUGUAGACGAACAGUUGAUUCAAGCCAUGGUUCGGUUCUGGGACCUAGCUUAUCAGUGUUUCACCUUCAAUCAAGAAGACAUGACUCCAACCAUAGAAGAGUAUGCUGCUUUACUCCGCAUCGACAAUGUACAAUUUGGCAAAAUAUAUGUGAAAGAACCUAAGCCGAUGACCUUCAAGAAAAAGUUAGUGAGACUAACAGACAUGACUGAUGCAUGGGCCGAAAAAAAGAUAAAGAAGAAGAAUGAAACCAUUUGCAUUCCAUGGUCCUCCCUACGAGAUUUGGCUCUGAACCAUCCCAACAUGCUGAAAAGGGUAAAUCUAUUCGCUUUGGCCAUUUACGGUUUGGUCAUUUUCCCAAAAGUUCUCGGACAUCUCGAAGUUGCAGUAGUUGAUUUCUUCGAAAGGUUAAAACAAGGAAUCAACCCUGUCCCGACCAUCCUAGCCGAGACCUUCAGGUCCCUGAGUAGUUGUCAAAGAAAAGGGGAGGGACGAUUUAUCGGAUGCGCGCAGUUGCUCAAUGUUUGGAUUUUGAGUCACUUCUGGAAGGUAGAGCGCACUCCGUUCCAAAUGUUUUCUAAAACAUUCUCCCCGCUAGAAGCUUACCUCAAGAAAGAAUGGCCGAAGGAAGUCACCAAGCAACAUUGGGUAUCAGUUUUUUAGAAUCUUCGCGCCGAGAAUAUAACAUGGAGAGCACCCUAGAUCCGUCCUUCAGUUCUGCUAUACAAAUGUGGAAGCCAAGAUUGGGUACCUUUACUCGGGUUAUGGGGAGGAGUUGGAUAUACCCCGCUAUUAGUCCAAAGGCAGUUUUCUUCGCGACAAUUCCUCCCUGCAACUGGAGGAUUAGCACAGUUCGAGUUCACUUUCGCGGGUGAAGGAUAUAUGAAGAGAGUCCGAGUCACUGCAAAGUAUUGGAAGGAAAUUCAUUUCAUGGAAUUAGCUUUGUAUGCUGAUACCCUUACCCAAGAUUACGACAUAUGGAGGAAGCAACGGGUAAAUAGUCAGCAAAUCUCAUCAACAAACUACACCAUCCAGAAUCAUUUCUCGGAGGAAACGCCGUCUGAGCUAGAAAUGGCAAGACAAGAAUUCGAACGAGAAAAGGCCAAGAUGUCUCGGGACCUUAGUGCCCUUCAAGAAGAAAACUAUCAACUGAAGAUUGAAGUUCAGGUUGAAAGGUCCAGGACUGAAAAAGUACAAAGAGAAGCCGAGAUUGUGAGAAACGACUUAAGGGACCUUCAUUUGGAAAAUAAGAAAUUAAGAAACACUAUAAAGAAUAGCGGGUUGGGCAAGUCGACAGCAGAAUGGAAGGAAGAAAUUAGCAAUAUCAAGGGAGGAAUGGAGUUUUGGAAGGGAAAAGCAAAGAAAGAGGAGGAAAAGGCUGCGCGCGCUGUGAUAGAGUUAAGAAGGAAGAACGCCGAGUAUGAAAUAGUGGCUGCAAAAUUGGCGAAUAGUCAGUCUGAACAUCAAGAAUUAAAAAGGAAAACACGAGAUCUAAAAAAUAUGCUGCAAUCUCGUCAACAACAAUUAGAUAACCUCUUGAAGGCUCUAGAAGAAAAGAGUGAGCAGUACGAUAAGGACAUUCACGCGUAUGAAGGAACCCUCAAAGAAAAAGAAAUGCAACUUGACUUCUUGAUCAAUGAAAUUCGUAAAGCGGCUAUGCAAGUUGUUCAAUUAUCAGAUGAAGCCGAAGUUCUCAGUUGCCAAUUCCCCCCGAGCCAAAGAUCGAGCAUAACAGAGUUUUUAGAGCAAGUGAAGAAACAAGGCAAUGUGGCUAGGAAAUUUGUGUAACUGUUGGAAAAAUGAGAACUUUGUGUAAUAGACUAUGUUGAUAAAUGAAAUGCCUAAAUAUGGGGCUAUCUUGAAAUCAACUCCAAUUUCUUGCAUUUCAUUCAUAACUGACACUCAUUUGACAUUCAUGCAUUCAUUCAUGCACCAGUUCAUUCAUUGCAUAUCCCAUACUCAUUCGCUGAGGUUAAAACGUACAAUUCGCAGUUGCCAGACAUCAAGACUGGAACCACGUCAUCCGUAUAAAAUGCGCCGACAAGCUAGAGUAAUGGAAGCUGAAUUCAAUGAGAGAAUUGAAAGGAUGGAAAAAGCUCAAACGGAAUUACAAGAGCAACUGGCCAAAUCGCAACAAGAGACGAGAGACCUAAUGGUGAUAUCUCGAGAGGAAUCACUCGAGCAAAGAGAUCAGAUGGCUAAAAUGAUGGAGAUGAUGACAACUUUGGUCAACGGAAAAUGGCCCAUGCAGAACCCUGAUGUUAUGGAACCUCAGUCAAGAAUUCACCAUGUUCAGGAUCCACUCUAUCCCUCGGGAUUCACUCCACCGCCCGCAUGUACAAUACAAAGAGGGUAUACUCAAGAGGAACCCACUGGCUUGGAGCAUCGACCCAUGCCACCUGCUCCACCCACUAAUUUGGGGCAAGGAAUGUUAGCGUCGAACCCAGGGGCUAGUUCUGCUAAUCCACUAGUUCCAGAUCUAGAUGACCCAGCAGAGGUAGCCAAGUUGAAAUUGGAUAACCAUGACGCAAAAUAUAGGAGUCUAGAGGAAAGACUCAAAGUAAUAGAAGGCACUGAAGUCUUCUCCGCACUAGGUGCCAAGGAACUCAGUUUGGUACCUGAUCUAAUUUUGCCCCCGAAGUUCAAAGUGCCUGAUUUUGAGAAGUAUGAUGGAACAAGGUGCCCAAAAGCACAUCUCAUUAUGUUCUGUCGAAAAAUGACCGGUUAUGUGAACGAGGAUAAACUACUCAUACAUUGCUUUCAAGAUAGUCUAACAGGGUCAGCUCUUCGGUGGUAUAAUCAACUUAGUAGAGAAAAGAUUCGAUCCUGGAAGGACUUGGCGUUAGCAUUUUGCGAACAGUACAAGCAUGUAUCGGAUAUGGUGCCAGACCGUAUGACCUUGCAAAUGAUGGAGAAAAAGCCAUCAGAGACCUUUAGACAGUAUGCGCAGAGAUGGAGAGACGUCUCAACUCAAGUGGAACCCCUACUAACAAAAACGGAGAUAACCGUUCUUUUUAUCAAUACUUUAAAGGCACCGUUUUAUGACAAACUAGUGGGAAGUGCCACGAAAGAUUUCGCGGAUAUUGUAAUAUCCGGUGAACUCAUAGAGAAUGCCGUCAAGAGCGGUAGAAUGGAAGGAUCAGAAGGCUCAAGAAAAGCAGCACCCUUAAGGAAGAAAGAGCCAGAAGCCCACAUGGUGGGAACUGGGAGUCGUUACAUUCCCAAUUCGUAUCCUAGCCAACCCCGACCUCGAAAUUAUCCAUCCCCGAAUUCCUAUUAUCCCCCUCAAACCCCUUACUACCAAGCACCACAUCCGUCCUGCCCCGUAUACGCCACGAAUAACCAAAGACCCGUCACUACUUUCCCACAAAACACGGUACCCGCCCAAAGCUAAUCAAGGCAUAAUCCCGAGAGACCGCAAUUUACCUCCAUCCCUGUGUCGUAUGGGGAAUUGUACCCAAAAAUUUUAGAAAAACAGCUAAUUUCUCCCCAUUACAUGGCACCCCUUAAACCUCCAUACCCAAAGUGGUACGAUCCAAACGCUAGUUGUGCAUACCACGCAGGGAACCAAGGGCACUCUACUGAGAACUGUCUCGCUUUCAAAAGGAGAGUUCAAGGACUCAUUGACGCGAGUAUCCUACGAUUCGAUAGUGCUAGUAACGCCACGGGGAACCCGUUCCCUAACCAUACCGAAGGGAAUGUGAGCACAGUGGGGAAAGAGGAUGAAUGGAAGGUCAGAAGAUGUGUGGCAGAAAUAAGGACGCCUCUGCAGAAAAUCUGGGAGAUAUUGGUUAAGAAAGGAUUGCUCUGUCACUCUGAUAGAGUUUUUGGAGAAGAAGGUCAAAGUUUUUGCAAUUUUCAUGGGAUUGUUGGGCACAACAUUCAGUCAUGCGAGGACUUUAAAAAGUUACUUCAAGACCGGAUGGAUAAUAAGGAGAUCAAGGUCCUUAACAAGAGUGAAGAUGCCAACGAAAGAGAAGUAUGCGUCUCUGAUAGCCAAUCAUCAGGGCCCCCUUAUAGUGCUGAUCGACCGUUGGUAAUUUAUUACGACGCGAUGAGAGAGCCAUUGAAACCACAGAUGGUAAUUGAAGUACCAUCUCCUUUCCCGUAUAAGGACAACAAAAUAGUACCGUGGAAAUAUGAUGUUAAUAUCGUUACACCGGAAGUUGAAAAGUCCAAAGCCAUAACUGAAGAUGUUGGGGAGGUAGGUCAUUUUACUUGAAGUGGACGAUGCUAUUCUAAAGAAGUUGAAUCGGUAAAGAAAAGUAGCGACUCGAAGCAAAAAGGGAAAGCAGUGAUGUACGAGGUCGAAGUCGAGCAAGAAAUUCCACCCGUGCAAGAAACUAAAAAGCCUGUGAAUGAGGAAGAAGCUCAAGAAUUCUUGAAAUUUAUUAAGCACAGCGAAUAUAGUGUGGUGGAACAAUUGAGCAAGCAGCCAGCACGAAUCUCAGUUCUAUCUCUACUAUUAAAUUUAGAGCCACACCGGAAUGCUAUAUUGAAGGUGUUAAAUCAAGCUUACGUGGCCAACAACACAUCUGUCGAAAAGCUUGAUAGGUGGGUAAACAAUCUGAAUGCGGACAACUUCAUCUCUUUUAGUGAUGAUGAGAUACCGCCAAAUGGUAGAGGCUCGGUGAAAGCGCUGCAUAUCACGACCCGCUGCAAGGGCUACAUAAUACCGAACGUACUCAUCGAUAAUGGGUCAGCGAUAAAUGUUAUGCCAUUGGCUACACUUUCCAGAAUACCGAUGGAUUUGUCCUACUUAAAGCCGUGUCAUUCCAUGGUAAGGGCAUUCGACGGGACGAAGUGCGAAGUCAUGGGAAAGAUCGAAAUCCCUUUGGAAGUGGGCCCCUACAUCUAUGAGGUCGAAUUCCAAGUCAUGGACAUUACACCCUCUUAUAACUGCCUUUUGGGAAGACCUUGGAUUCAUUCUGCUGGAGCAGUCCCAUCAUCCCUCCAUCAAAAGGUGAAAUUCAUCAUGGAUGGCUGUUUGGUCACAGUCGAGGGCGAAGAAGACAUCGUCGCAUCUAUCUCUGCUGAUGCGCCAUACCUGGAAGUAAGCAAGAACGCAGUGGAAUGUUCCUUUCGAUCCCUUGAAUUCAUCAAUGCCACUUUCGUCGCUGAGGGAAAUAGAAUUCCGAUGCCAAAACUGUCGAGAAAUACCAGAAUGGGUGUCAAGUUGACCGUAGGAAGGGGAGCUCGUGCGAGAAGAGGUUUAGGGAGACAUCUAUAAGGAAUAGUGAGGGCUUUAAAGCCAGUGCACCACAAGGCCCGAUACGGUUUGGGGUUCCAGCCUGACAUGCACCAAAGAAGAAGACAGUGGAAGAAGGAUCAAGAGAGAAGAAUUGCAAGAACUUUAGGCCGAGAACCAGAAUGGGAACCAAUAGAGUACCCUCCUUUGUCAAAAACAUUUAUAUCUGCGGGAAUGAUGUACCCUGGACAAGAUGAUCCACGAAACAUGCUGGGAUUAAUUGAAAGGGAUUUUCAGAAUGUCAGUAUAAAUGUCAUUGACAAAGAAGCUGGUGCAAGUAAAGAUGUCUCGAGGAUACGCCCUUGCCCUCCUGGUUUCAUGUUGAACAAUUGGAUUGCUGAGGAGCUUCUUGUAGUUUAUAAGCCUUCAGAGUAAUGCUAAACAUCAACCUUCUAUUGUGUCCUUAGAUAUAAUAGAAUUCUUUUGUAAGAGUUUGCAUUUGCUCUUUAUCAUUUAAAUGAAUAUCAAUGAAGAUGCAUUUUGUCACGAUUUUUCGCAUUAUCACUAAUUUCAUAAUCAUUUUCUCAUUUCAUAGCCUAUCCUUACAUUUGCCUCCUUGCCAUGACAUAACAUUUGUUUAUUGUUUCCAACACUUGGAUGUCCCCCUAUAGCUUCCUUUUCCAUUCAACUUUCAGGUGCUCAGAUAUUGACGACAUGAAUAAGCCCGUUACGAAUCUUGAAAUUGAUUUUGAGAAGGCUGUUUGCUUAGGAGAAUUUGAAGCCGAAGAAAAUGGUGAAGAUUAUGUCUCGUCUCCUGAAUUGUUAAGAAUGGUGGAACAAGAGGAUAAACAGGUUUUGCCUCAUGAAGAAUCUGUGGAAACAACAAAUUUGGGCACUGAAGAGAGGAAACAAGAAGUGAAGAUUGGGACUUCUAUUUCAGAAAGUACCAGGCAUAGUUUGAUCACUUUACUCCGUGAAUACAAAGAUGGUUUCGCGUGGUCAUACCAGGACAUGCCAGGCUAGAUGAAGAUUUAGUGGUCCAUAAGCUCCCAUUGAAGCCAGAAUGCAAGCCCAUCCAGCAAAAAUUAAGACGGAUGAGACCCGAAAUGCUGUUGAAAAUAAAAGAGGAAGUCAAGAAGCAAUUUGACGCUGGCUUCCUACAAGCCUCCAAAUAUCCAGAAUGGGUGGCUAACAUAGUCCCGGUACCAAAGAAAGAUGGAAAAGUACGAAUGUGCGUGGAUUACCGUGACCUGAAUCGAGCAAGCCCAAAAGAUAAUUUUCCCUUGCCACAUAUUGACACGUUGGUGGACAACACAGCAAAACAUUCAUUGUUUUCUUUCAUGGAUGGAUUCUCGGGGUAUAAUCAGAUCAAGAUGGCCCUUGAGGAUAUGGAGAAAACUACCUUCAUAACAAUGUGGGGAACGUUCUGCUACAAGGUGAUGCCAUUCGGGUUAAAGAAUGCUGGGGCAACAUAUCAGAGGGCUAUGGUGACAUUAUUCCAUGACAUGAUGCAUAAGGAAAUAGAGGUCUACGUCGAUGAUAUGAUUGCUAAAUCUCAAGGAGAAGAAGAACAUGUAAUGAACCUCAAGAAGUUGUUCGAAAGGAUGAGAAAGUUUCAGCUAAAGCUUAAUCCAGCCAAAUGUACAUUCGGGGCUACCUCGGGAAAAUUGCUAGGCUUCAUUGUCAGUGAAAGAGGUAUCGAAGUUGAUCCAAAUAAAAUAAAAGCCAUCCAAGAAUUACCACCUCCGCGCACGCAAAAGGAAGUUAGAGGAUUUUUAGGGAGAUUAAAUUACAUCGCCCGAUUUAUCGCUCAACUUACCAACUAAUGCGACCCAAUUUUUCGACUCCUUCGAAAACAUAACGCGGGAGAAUGGAACGAGGAGUGCCAAGUGGCCUUCGAUAAGAUAAAACGGUAUCUGUCUAAUUCUCCUGUGCUAGUAACACCGACCCCUGGAAAACCCCUAAUUUUGUACCUGACCGUGUUUGAAAACUCAAUGGGUUGCGUACUGGGGCAACAUGAUGAGUCAGGGAGAAAAGAAAAGGCGAUCUACUACCUCAGCAAAAAGUUCACUGAAUAUGAGGCAAAAUAUUCGUCCAUUGAGAAAUAUUGUUGCGCUCUGGUUUGGGUAGCUCAGAGACUCAGACAAUAUAUGUUGUAUCACACGACAUGGCUAAUUUCAAAGCUGGACCCAAUAAAAUACAUGAUGGAAUCACCGGCACUAUCAGGAAGAAUGGCACGAUGGCAGAUCCUCCUUUCAGAAUAUGACAUUGCCUAUGUAAGUCAGAAGUCAAUAAAAGGGAGCGCAAUAGCUGACUUUUUAGCAACUCGAACGACAGAGGAAUAUGAGCCUUUAAGAUUCGAUUUCCCAGACGAAGACUUAAUGUGCAUCACAGAAAUAGAAUCCGAGUCAUCAAAAGAGAAGUCAUGGAAGAUGUGCUUUGAUGGUGCGUCAAAUGCUUUAGGGCAUGGAAUUGGAGCAAUCCUGGUAUCACCAGACGGGAAUCAUUAUCCGUUCACUGCAAGACUGAACUUCUUCUGUACCAAUAAUAUCACAGAAUAUGAGGCCUGUAUCAUGGGACUUCGUGCAGCUAUCGAACGAAACAUCGAGAUCUUGGAGGUGUACGGGGACUCAGCCCUAGUGAUUUACCAAAUCCGUGGAGAAUGGGAAGUGAGGGACUCAAAAUUGAUUAAGUACAGCGUUUUAGUGGCUGGAUUGAUCAAGGAAUUCAAAGAAAUAACUUUUCAUUACUUCCCACGAGAAGAGAACCAACUGGCUGAUGCCCUAGCCACUUUGGCUUCAAUGUUCAAAGCAAGUAGAGAAGCAGAAAUAAUGCCCCUCAAAAUGAGCAUAUACGAGGUCCCUGCACACUGUUGUAGCAUUGAGAAAGAAGUAGACGGACGGCCUUGGUUCCAUGAUAUCUUAGAAUAUAUCAAGAAUCAAAGGUAUCCCAAACAAGCGAAUGAGAACGAUAAAAGAACAAUUAUAAGAAUGGCAGCGGGAUUUGUUCUUGAUGGGGAUAUCCUGUAUAAAAGAGGAAAGGAUCAGAUGCUUUUGAGAUGUGUGGAUGAUGUUGAAACCAGAAAAAUACUUGAAGAGGUCCAUGAGGGAAUUUGCGGAACGCAUGCCAAUGGUUUCAAUAUGGCCAGAAAGAUCAUGAGACUCGGUUAUUAUUGGCUGACAAUGGAAAGUGACUGCAUCAAUUUUGCCAGAAAAUGCCACAAAUGUCAAAUCUACGGCGAUAAAAUUCAUGUAGCCCCUUCACCCCUUCAUGUCAUGACUUCUCCGUGGCCUUUUUCUAUGUGGGGCAUGGAUGUCAUAGGGCCAAUUUCUCCAAAAGCUUCAAAUGGACAUCGAUUCAUUUUUGUGGUUAUUGAUUACUUCACAAAAUGGAUUGAAGCCGCUUCGUUUGCCAAUGUGACGAAGACUGCAGUGUGCAAGUUUUUGAAAAAAGAAAUCAUUUGCCGAUAUGGUUUCCCUGAAAGAAUCAUCUCAGAUAAUGCCAUGAAUCUGAAUAAUAAGAUGAUGAAAGAAGUGUGCGAGUAGUUCCAAAUAAAGCAUCAUAAUUCCUCGCCCUAUCGCCCAAAGAUGAACGGGGCUGUUGAAGCAGCUAACAAGAACAUUAAGAGGAUCAUUGAGAAAAUGACUGAGACAUAUAAAGAUUUGCACGAGAAACUUCCAUUUGCUUUGUUUGCAUAUCGUACAUCUGUGCGAACAUCUACGGGAGCAACUCAUUUCUCUCUAGUCUAUGGAAUGGAAGCUGUGCUACCUAUCGAGGUUGAGAUCCCCUCUCUGCGAGUAUUGAUGGAAUCAAAGUUAGAAGAACCAGAAUGGGUUCGAGCUCGAUAUGAUCAGUUGAACCUCAUUGAAGAAAAACGUCUAAGGGUAAUUUGUCAUGGGCAAAUGUACCAAAAGAGAAUGAUCGCAGCCCAUGACAAGAAGGUACGACCAAGAGAGUUCCAUGAAGGAGAACUCGUUCUGAGAAAGAUUCUCCCAAUACAAAAAGACCUGCGAGGAAAAUGGGCACCAAAUUGGGAAGGACCAUACGUUGUAAAAAAGGCAUUCUCGGGAGGAGCUUUAAUCCUUACCGAGAUGGACGGGAAGGAGUUACCGAAUCCGGUGAAUUCAGAUGCGGUGAAGAAAUAUUAUGCUUAAGAUGAAAACCCGAAAAUGGCAUCUAAAAAAAAAGGGCGAAAACCCGAAAAGGGCGUCUUGAUUAGUACAAAAAGAUUAGGAUGAAAACCCGAGAGGGCGUCCUAAUGAAACAAACCUGGCGGUCGAUCGAUAGGUCGAGUAGUGAGACUACAGUAUUUGAAGCACUUCUGAAAGCUCGAAAUUUUCUACGCAAGAAGCCAUGCUCGAAAAGAUUAUUGAUUGAGGAACGUGGAAGAGUUCAUGUGUUGAAUAUCUAGAGCAUUUGUAUCCGUUGAAUACGACCUUUUCUUUCUUUUUGACAUUUUUACUCUCAUUGGUUAACUUUCUUUGUUUGCCGCAUUUGAAAUAAAGGAAUAUGAGAUAUCCUUUUUGUCCCUACCUGACCAUUUUCAUGCAUCUCAUUAUGUGUUUAUUUAAUGAUAAAUAGUGAAAUGACAUACUCUAAACAAAAGAAAUAUCAAGCAUUACCCGGAUAAGAAUUUGAUAAGUGCAAGAUCUUCAAAGCAAGAACAAAGUUUAACCAAGGGCAAAAGGGUGAUAUCUGAGAAACGUCGAUUACUCGUAAAGCUCGAAGACAGGUAUGAGGCCUGAAGAGAAGGUCGAGAAUCAAAGCAAUGAACACAGAUCCUCAACAAUCAUGGCGAAAAGGACAUACGGCCUAUAUGCUUAAGGAGCACUGCAUAAUCAUGUAGGCAUAAAGGCAUUUAAGACAAACAUGUGCAUAUCAUGAUGACAUCAUGCAUGGCAUAUACAGGUAAUCCAGAAAAGCAAGAAAUCUUGAAUGAGAGUCGCACUGAAUCAAAGGAAAAGAUACCCGAGUUCUACCAAAGGACUGGUUUUGGUAUUUUGAUGUUUUUAAUUCAUGCUUUCCAAGGAAAAUUGACUCAUAUUGCGAGAGGUGAGUCAAGCCUCAGGUCACGCUGAGGUAUUUUAAUUCCUUUUGUUUCAAAAAUCAACUCAUAUUGCUAGAGGUGAGUUGAGCCUCGGGGCACGCCGAGGUACUUUUAGUUUAUGUUUUAAAUUGACUCAUAUUGCGAGAAGUGAGUUAAGCCUUUUAAUUCCUGUUUUUCAAAAAAUCAACUCAUAUUGCGAGAGGUGAGUUGAACCUUUUAAUUUUUGUUUUUCAAAAAUCAACUCAUAAUACAGAGGUGAGUUGAGCCUCGGGCCACAUGCCGAGGUAUUUUCAAAAUCUGUUUGGCAAAUUCUGUGUUCAAAAAUCAACUCAUAUUGCGAGAGGUGGGUUGAACCUUUUAAUUUCUACUUUUUCGAAAUCAACUUAUAUUGCGAGAGGUGAGUUGAGCCUCAGAACACGCUGAGGUAAUUUCAAUUUCUGUUGUCAAAAAAAAAAUCAACUCAUAUUGCGAAAAGUGAGUUGAGCCUUUGUCACAUGUGGAGAUAUUUUCAGUUUUUGUUUUUAAUGUCUGUUUUUAAAGAGUCAAUUCAUAUUGCGAGAAAUGAGUCGAACUCAGGAUCACAUGCCGAGUAAGAAUAAAGAUUGAAGCUGAUGAAAAACACCAGACUUGGUCUCCCUGAAGCUGCAGUGGAGCCGGUCAAAAGUUGCAAGUCUUGUCUCCCUGAGGUCGCAGUGGAACUGAUCGAGGAUAUCAAAUCUUGUCUCGCUAGAGUUACAGAAGAGAAGAUCACGAAUCUCAUCUCACUGAAGUGAUAAAAGAACAGAUUGAAGCUUAGAUCUUAUCUUUAUGAAGCUACGUGGAAGCAGAUCAAAGCCACAAAUCACAUAUCUUUGAAGUCACAUUGGAGUAGAUUUAAACUACAAGGCAUAUAUCAGAAGAUGCAGUGGAUUGGAAGAAGACCAUCUGAACAAGAAGAGCACCAAUGAAGUCAAGACUCGGCAGGAAAGGGCAAAAUUGGCCUUUCACUUAGUCUUUGCUCUAUUCCCGUUACACGACAAUGAGCAAAGAGGGGCAGCUGUACUAGGCCAAUUUCGGCCCAAUCUCAUUUACAAAUUAAAACUCAAUUUACAAAACACUAAACCCCUUAAAACCCAAACCCAUUCACACUUUUACAAACCCAAAUACUAUUAACCCAAUACCCUAAACUAACCUGCCCUAAUCCAAAAACCCCUAACCCAAUAAGCCCAUUAAACAAAAUAAGCCCAAACUAAUACCAAAUCCCUAGCCCAAGACCAGAAUCGGGAAACCCUAGCAGCUCCCCAAGCCUCCAGCCGCCGCAUGCUAGGCCAACCAUGGGCCACCUUGCGCACUACCACCACCACACCCCGCGCAUGCCCUUCUCCUCCAUGCGUCUGACACCGCCUGCAAAACGAGACACAACAACAGCAGCAACAGAACAGUAGCGAAUGGAAGAAACAAUAUUUUUUGUACUCUGCUUUGAAACAUUCGGCUAUAAAGCCUAAAGGGAAAAUUUGUAAAGGAAGGAAGGGGGGCAUAUUUUUACGAACGAAUACACAAUAGGCAAUACAAAAAAAGCAAUAUUGGAAGGUGAUUUCUCCGAUCGAAAUCUCUGGGCUUUCUCUUUGUGAUUAUUUUCUUUUUUUAUUUCGAGAGUAAAUAAAAGAAAAGGGGAACACGAACACAGACGCACAUAGAAUAUACACGCACAGAAAUAUAAAAAAAAACAAUUAAGACUUUGCAAGGGUAAUCUCAAGUUUUCUUUCGUUCUUUCUUUUUUUUUCUUUUUUGUUUGGUUUAGAUCGUCUUUUAGUAGGUAAAUCGACUCCAAUGAGAUCCUGAAUACUUUAAGAUACAAAAGUAGGGGAGAGGGGUCAAGUGGUGUUGAAUCUCUAUUUUAUGAACUUUCUUCGUUUUUUUAAAAAUGUAUGAGAUUUGAAGUUUUAUUUUUUCUCAAGUAAAAAAGAAAAUACUUACUAAUUUCCUCAAGGCAUGGUCGAAUACUUAC
rnacentral:lncRNA from 1 species